CAGUUUGAAUGUUUCGCCCACAUUUUAUACAGAUCAUUAACUAAAGAUGACACAAAAUGGAGGCAUUAGCAAAUAUAACAUGCUGCCCCUGAGGGUGAGUGAUUUUUGUAAAUACUUUACAAAACAGCUGUAGCCAAAUGAUUAUCUGCAUCAUCCAAAUGUAGAAAAUAAAUGUUUUAUCAGUUAACAUUUAAAUUAUUAGAUCUUUAAUUGAAUUGUUUGGAAGUUCAGCAUUUUUUUAAUGCAGACCUCAUGGUUAUGCAUGAAUAUUUUAUUGAGCUGAUGGAAUGAGACCUUGUUUUUAAAUGAUACCUGAGCAGAUCUGUAUUGAGACAGCAAAAUGUGAAUAACAAGCAACAUGCCGUUGCCUGAGGAAAACGCAGAUGAGCCUCCAUAUGCUCAGAAAGACGGUACAACUUCAUACAAGAACACACCGCUGAGCAAACUUCCCUCUAUUCUCACGUUUGGUUCUGAGCCCUUCAUUCAGCAAACACACUUCAAGAGGGGAACAGACUGCACUUUUGAUCUUCCUCACCACAAGAACAUUUAUUCGGUUUCAGAGAGUGCAAGUGGCUCAAAAUAUGCCAGAAGAGAUACAACACUAAGAGAUGCUUCAGCCCUCAUAUGUUGUGAUACAGCAGCCAAGCAUAAGUGUGAGCAAUGGAAGACCCCAGAGAGGGAUUUUACAGAGUAUUCCUCAUUAUCCACAAUUUCAAAGAAAGACAGCCCGCCGACCUGCUUUAAUUCUGCAGACAUUGCUUAUAAACCCCAAAAGGAAGCACUCGCUUUUCAAAGACAAGAUGAAAGGCUUUCAUCCUGUACCUUUCAUGAGCUUCUUGAGUCCUCGUGGAUGUCUGCAAACUUGCAUUGCUCGAUGCUACACUUCAACUCAACUGAACAAGCAGCCUCUUUUGUGGAACAUCAAACUCCCAACUUAUCUGUAUCCACCUCAGCGGUUUCCUCUCUCACAAUACCUGUCGUCACGGAAAGUGAAAGGCACAGUAGCUACAUUCCAAGAGAUAUCAAAAGACAACCAAGAAAUGAGCAGUUUCAGUGCUGUAAUACAAGAUUCAGCUCUAAUCAUGUCCCUAGAGUAUCUAUACAACCACCAAACAAAUCUGGACAAAAUGAAGAUUUUGUCAGAGACAGAAGACCUGAUGGAGACAAAUUGGCUUUUGAUGGCCCUACUGAGAUUAACCCUCAUAAAAGGCUUGAAAUGCAGGAGAAUUUGAGUCAAAUGCACCCACUGGUGAUUCAUAGAGAGGAUAUAAAGAACCAUACGCAAAACAUGCAAAGAGUUUAUCUUAAAGAAGCAUACAAAUGUCCUCCAGGACUGGCAGGAAGUAGGAAUGAACUAGUGUCUAUUGAUGGACAAUAUUUUAGAUCUCAUCAACACUCACCUUUUGCGAAGUGUAAAGCCGUGGCUGCAACAGAAGCUCGGAUUUCUGCUCAGCCUGAUGUGGCACCAGGGGCUUAUGAUGACUUUGAUGAAAAGAAAAUAGAAGAAAGGUGUGAAGACCUGUAUAGGUUCCAUCUGCGGUUGCGCUGUCUGAGAUUGUGGUCCAAAAGACUCAGGUUACUCUCUCAAGCCUGCUGUCAUGACAGAAGACGGGUUUUAAGCAAAGCUCUGUAUGUUCUGAGAUGGGCCGCAAAGAUGCAUUGUGCUCAAAAUGAUGCAGUGGAGAGGAGGAGAUGUAAUUUCCUGCUCUAUCAGAGUUUUUACCAGUGGAAGAAUCACUAUGAGAGCAGACACCUGGAUAACUCAUUACACAAUGAGCGCAACACAGAUGCUUUGAGAAAACGACUCAUUCAGCCCGGAAGAACUUUGGUUCUGAUGACCACAUGUUCCACCUGGAGGAACAUGCAUGAGCUCAGAACAGCUGUGAUUCAUUAUCAGUAAGAAUCAUCCUGUAAUCUGGGUCAGAUAUACAGUUACCUCACAAUGAAUAAGAGUCAAUAGGGAUGUCUGAGUCACUGUCUUGGACAGGAAUCAGGAUUUUCCUUUGCUAUUUAUCAUGAGUUUAACCUAAGUUUAACCUAACCUCUUUUAGAAACACCACUCUCCUUUUCUUAAGAACAUGUAAAUAUCUAGUUGUGUAUGUAAAUGUGUCUGUAUGUGCUUUAAACCUUGCAGUCUAUCUGUACUUUAUAAGCACUGGCUGCUGUGGAGGCAGGCGUGUUUAAAGCAAUUCUCUAGGAGACAACAGGAGUGGUGGUCAUGUUCGUGGUGGGGCAGACGACUCCAGAGCAAAGUCUGGACCCUGUGGAUAAUAACCUGGCAGAGAAAACAGCUAGCCACAGAUCAGUACAGCAUGCAUUUGUUAGCAUCAGCAUGGAUGAAAUGGAAAAUCAGUAACCGGUCAGAAGAAGCUGGAGAAGUUGAUACAGUCCACUCAGAUAAGCAGCCUAAAUCGUUUCUUCCAUCGUUGGCAGAAAAGAGCAGAAUCCUUUCAAAGAGAGAGAGAAAAACAGUUAGUUUUGAGCCGACGCGCCCUGCACUCCUGGCAUUGCUACGUUCAGAAGACAAAACUAACACGUUUGAGUACCAGAGUCCCAUGGGUGCUUUCCAGACAGAUGUUAGCAGUACACUUCAGGAAGUGGAGAAAUGUCACAGGAAGGAUGCAGGAAACAAGGAGAUGUCUGGAGAGAAUGCGCCCCCUGCAGGAUAAAGGUAGAAUGCAGACUACAUUUACAAUGUGGCGUCAAAGUGCGCGGGAAAGGAAAGAGUUAAGGAGAGUACGGGAGAAUUUACAAAGAGCUCAACUCUCAAGGUAAGUCAGCUUGUUCUCCUGGGCUUCAUUUGCAUUGUGGCUGUUACAUUUAAAUGAGAUGUUGAAAAUCUUGCACUUUAUACAAAUAAUAAAGUACAAACACUUUUUUGAAAUGUUGUCAAUUGUUCAUAAAAAUGUUAGUGAAAGAGUUUAUCUUUCACAAAAUGUUAUUCACCAACAUCAAGGGGUCAAACUAAAUAUGAGCUAUUUUGUUUUAUAUUUAUUUUAUAUGACCUUGUUUAUACUGUAUGACCUGCAGAAUGUAUAAGUCCUUGGCAGGCAGUCUAUGUCCCUGGACACUUGAAUCUGGGUGCAGAUAUCCUGUCGAAGUAGGACCUGAGGCCUAAGGGACUCUACUUGAAUGUGGUGGAGUUGAUUUUGCUGAGGAACGACAGAAUGGAAGUGAAGUUUUUUGUCUAAGCAGAGUCUAACCACUGUCCUCUCUGGUUUGCCCUCACACCUCCAGCUCCGUUAGGACUAGAUGCCAUGGUUCUGACAUGGCUAUGGCUGUGUCUGUAUGUAUUUUCCCCGAUAGCUCUGUUCCAACAAAGUAUGCCAAUGACAGAGUAUGCCUAGUACUCGUAGUUCCGUUUUGGCCAGCUCGAGUUUAGUUCCCGGACCUAGUGUUUCUCCUGGAAGGCUCUCCAUGGGAUAUUCCGACCAGGAGGGACUUUUUGUUUUCGGGGUCGAUCUUUCACCCCCGACCCGACAUUUGGAAACUGUGGGUUUGGCCCCUUAGUGAGAUCAGCUCCUAGAAUCUGGUCUCUCAGCCGAGGUUGUUGAGAGUUCCCUCCACAAGGAAAUUGUAUUAUCUUCAGUGGCAUCUUUUUGCAUUGUGGUGCGAUCAACGACACUUGGACCCAGUCCACUGCCUGCUUGGUUCAGUGCUAGAGUUCCUGCAGGAGCAUCUUUCAGCAGGGUUGGCCCUUGUUACACUUGCCACAUUCACGUUGAUGGAUAUUCCCCUGGUAUCUUGUUUCUUGUGCGGUGCCAGAUGGCUGAGGCCUAUCUGCAGACCGUGAGUUUCUUCAUGGGAGCUUGCUAUAGUCUUGGAUGGCUCAUCACACACACACGCACAUGCACACACACACACACACACACACACACACACACACACACACACACACACACACACACACGCGCGCACACACACACACACGCACACACACACACAAAAAAAACUUUACUUACCCUAAACUUUUGAACACUAGUGUAUUUAUAGGGUGUUGCUGUGUGGUUGCUAAACUGUUCAUUGAUGUUGUGGCACUGAUUCUCUGUGUGCUUAUGGUAGGUGUUUAUCGGUGUGGAGAACACUAGUCCAACGCAGUGCAUUGCUUCUGCAUUACUGUUAUCACAGAAAGGCUCUGACACUCAAGACAUGCUUACAGCAAUGGAGCAGAUCUCUACAGCUACACUGUCUGCAGAAGGAUUUCCUCAUCCACCAGUUUCAUACAAGACAGAAAAACACAGGCUGUACGAUGGAAGUGUUCAAAUGGAAAACACGCAUUUCAGCUCAAGAACUAUCAGCAACGCUACUGCUUCACAACACUCUUCAUAAGUGGACAGAGAUAUUAGUGAAACAACAGUUGGCACAAUCCCACAGAUCAGUUCAAGAUAGAGCUGUUCAGCGGGCUUUUCUUCUGGAGUGGUACAGACACACUCAGGCUGUUUUCUCUGAUGGAGUUCUGCUCUUCACAGCCAGACUGGCUCAUCUUUAUCCAUCCUCCUCUUCCUCAUCCUGCUCUGAUCCUCUUAUGUCCACUGCUGUACCUCAGGUUUCUCUGGUAGAAUGUGAAAACUGCACAGCAGAAGAUGAUAGUUUGGAGCGAAGUGUGUUGACACACAGAGAGCAACACUGCCCUCUACUUGCCACAGAAUCACAGCACAGCCACAUGUCAUGGACUGUGUCAGAGGAACACAGAUCUCUGCUGUCAGUUAUCAGUACAAUUUCUGAGGAACAUAAAGACCCAGGAGAUGAGAGAAUGGUUUAUAGUUGUUUCUGGGGCUCCUAUGAUCAUUGCAGACUUCGCAGAUCAAAGGUUGUGCUACUAAGAGCCCUCGGCAGGAUGAUGCAUCCUGAUUUGAGUCUGGCUUUUUCCCAGUGGAGGGGUCUAGUGCACACUAACAGAGAUAUGAGGCUACAGGCGGAUCUCUGUAGAAAAAGCAGGAGACGUAAAGAACUGACUGUGGUUUUCAGGGUGUGGAGAGCUCAUACUCAAAUGCACUGCAGGGCUGUCCAGCACUGGGAGAGGAGGGUGCUCAUUCAUUCUGUCGUUCAGUGGAAACUAAUGGUUUGGCAGAGAUGCAGGAAGCAUAUGUUGGAACAGCAUGUGGCACUUACCCAUGACACCAGUCUACUCAGACACUGCUUCUGUACAUGGACCAGACUGGCCGUGGUGCCAUACUGUGAGCAGCAGAAUUGUGCUGUUGAAUGGAUGAAGAGCAAAGCAGAGAGACACAGACUGAACUUGAGCUUCUCCACGUGGGUAACAUGUGUAAGCCAGCAGCAGACUGCCAGAGCCGUUUAUAUUCGCACGCUACAGAACAGAGUGUUUUUGGCAUGGCUGAGUUGUGUGCAGGUCUGUAAGCAGAGGCAGGCAUCAGCUCUGUCCUUUUCACACUACAGACUCUUGCGAGUCUGUUUCUGUCAGUGGAGAUUCAUCUGUGCUCAGCAGCAGCUUGCCAACAGCAAAGAACAACACAGAUUCCACCUGAGAGUCAAAGCCAUCUUACAGCAGUGGAGAAAACAUGCACAAUAUAGGGCUCAUCGACAGGCUCUUCUAUGUGAAUAUGAUGAGAGGAGGAAGAUUUUCAUGAAGAGAAGAACAUAUCGAAUGUGGAGCCAAGCAGUGGAAUAUUUCAGAAGAUCUCAGCAUUAUCACCAAAGAGCCUUAAAAUACAGAUAUUUCUUUCAGUGGCUUCAUGAGUUCAGGCAUCAGUCAGAGCUGCUGUGUAUAAGCAGAGAGCUGGAGGAGGUCCUGACGCAGAGACUACAGCGUAGAGCUUUCUGUCACUGGCAGUUCAAACUCAGCCAUGUACAUUCUCACAUACUUCACAUCACGAGUCUCAUCCACCGCUGGGAAGACACUCGGCAUCUCCGUCUUUAUCUGUGUGUGUGGAGGGAGAGACUUGUUGAGAGGAAGAGGGCCCGACUGACGAUGCAUCAGUGGAGACAGCACAUCUCACGGGCCAGAAAGCAGAGAAACAUCGUGUGGAGGAUGAAAAACAUGUUCCUGUGCUGGAAAGCAGCUUUUACACAGAGGGUCAGGAGCAGAGAUCACUGUACACAGAGACAGCAGAGGAGGGUUCUGCUGGCAUGGCACAAACAAACAGUAUCAGCCCAGAGACUGAGGUACAGAGAGGCCUGGUUCCAGUACAGCAGUGAGAUGAGACUGCUGGCUGCUGUACUCAUACAGUGGAGAAGAGCUCUCAUCCAGGGUCAACAGAGGAAGUGUGCAAUGGAGAGCCAGCUCAUCGUCUAUCAGAGCAGGGUUAGAGGUCGAGCUUUUCAUCGCUGGAGAACUGCUGCCAUGGAAUGUAGAGCGAUUAAAACAUUUAACAACAGAUUACUUCACAAGAUGUUCAAGCGUUGGACACAUAGCAGGGAUUUGUUGAAAGUAGCAGACAUGUUUUGUGUUAAGAAGGAAAGAAGUGAAGCCCGGUUAGCUCUAACGACGUGGUCACUGUGGGCCAAAGAACAUAAAGCCCAGAGGCAGAUGGGGGAGGCUGUGAGUCUCUGGCUAGAGGGCAGAGGAGUAUCUAGAACUUUCCAUCAUUGGGUCAGAGUGUACCAACAAUACCAGAAAGCUUCCCAACACAGAAAGACACAGUUUUCACACAGAGCUGUGAAGGGAAGAGUGCAUGGACUGACCCAUCUGUACUGGACCUGUUGGAAAAACCAAACUGAAGCAUCAUUGCUGUACACACAACAAUAUGAGCGCUCUGUGCUGCAAAGAGCCUGGCUUAUCUGGAGAAAGAGACAUAUCAGGAACAGAGUGUCUGCUGAUUACUCAUCCAACUUUAACAACAUGCUAUUGGCACAGGUGUUGCAAGUGUGGUGGCAGCGAGCCCACGGAUCGGACUUUGAGCCCUAACAAGUUCUGUUUACAAGCAGAAGGUUAACAGAUGGAAACCAGCCAGGGCAGAUCAUACCAGACUGCAGUAACUUCAGACAUCACCAUGACAUCUCCAAAAUAAUGACAGUUCACCUGGAGUAUUCAGUAACAGUUUAACGAUACAUCUACACAUUUCUACAUUUCAUUAUGUGAUGUAAAAUUCUCAUAAAUAUUUAUUACCACCCCCAUCCACAUUUGAAUCAAAAAAGAUUUUAUUGUAUUGGUCAAAUGUUUCAGGUUAAAGAGCAGGGCCUAAAACAAACUUUUUGCCACACCUGCCAAUGGUCGGUGACUUAAUAAAAUAUACCGGCCAUAAAUAUUUUUUACCAGCCAUUAAAAAAAUUACAAUUCUCUAUUCCAAUUUCGAUACUAGGAUACUUGCUGAGACUGGCAUUUUUGACAUCAUUUUGUGUGAAUUUGUCCGUUCAAGCACGAGAUGUGAAAAAGAGCUCAGUUCAGUAUCCGCACGCUGUCUGAGACGCAGCUCUCUGAGUUCCCUUUCACGUUUUCUUGCACUUGAAUAUUUAAAUUGACAAGGCUUAAACUUUCGUGACGAUGCAGCACUGGCCCAUCAGCUGUCCCGAGCGUUAUUCAUGUUUGUUCAUGUUCAUGUUCUCACAACAUGGCAUUGUUAGAAUUCAGAAAACUGUUACCGGCCAACUGGCGAUUGACAACAUUUCAUAUAUUCGCCAACACCAAUUUUUACUUGCAUUUGGCGCUUGGCGAGUGUUAAUUUUAGGCCCUGUUAAAGAGUUUACCAAGAGUAAGCCAAACAACAGGUGUUCUUUUUUUUUCAACCUAUUGCAUUAUCCACCAAACCCACAGUCAAAGCCACUGGAAGGCAAGCCUGCAACCUUUAGCCAAAAAAGCGUAACGGCUAAUGCUAACCCCUGGCGGUACGCAGGGAAGGAGACCAGAGGCUGUUUUUUGAAUGGAUGUCAAUGGAUGAGAGGCUUCACUAUGGUGAUUAAACAGCUUUUGUGGGGAAAUAGCUAAUCAUUUAAUUAAUUGACAGCCUGUUUGCUAAUCUUCAGCAUGUUUUACACUAAACUAUACUUUCGUUGGGAACUAUAUGUAGAUUUUAGCUUGAUUAAAAAUGUAUUUUUUUAAGAGAAGGCAGACUAGGGGAUGUUGCGUCUGAUGUCACUGCCAUUACACGAUAGGCUGAGAGGUGCCACACGUGAUUAAGUUAGCCGUUACGGUUUCUCCAAUGGUAAGAGAUACAGGCCCUCUUAUCUCCCCACUAUAUACAAUCUCUGCCACAGCAUGUAAAAGUAACAUGACACCUCUCCUUAAAAAGCUGCAUGAUUUGGGAUAUCAUUCAUCUCUGUAGCUGUAGCACAAACCAAAAAUAUUCAAACCGGUUUGUUAGUGACUGCAAGAACCCUUAUAGCAUAUAAGUUUCACUAAAACAUUCUAAAUAAAUUCUAAUUGUCUGUCUUAACUUUCUAACUCGUUCAGUGCUGUAAAUGAUAUUCGUGCAUAGGUGUAGAUUGAUAGUUCCAGAAGAAAAAGAAUUCCCAGAACUUCCACGAGAAAUGCCAGCGGUUCAGAGGGUUCACUUAUGUAACAACCCUAUAGUGAGUAUAGAAUGAGUGUGUCAGGUUACUGACUCCUCCUCCUUUCCUCAUGCAGAAAGAGCACUCAGUGGAAGAACCAAGACUGUUUCAAUUUCUCAGUGGUUUUUGGAAAAUGGCACUUAGGUUGCCAUGGUACUAAACCACUUUUAUAUACUCUAUGUAUUUAAAUCAAGUAUUGGUGUAGAACAUUUUCAUGCCGCCUUUGUCCAAUAAAACAUAAUAGGAGUG